rnacentral:rRNA from 1 species
GACGAACGCUGGCGGCGUGCUUAACACAUGCAAGUCGAACGAAGUGGCGAACGGGUGAGUAACGCGUAAUCAACCUGCCCUUCCGAGGGGGACAACCGUUGGAAACGACUGCUCAUACCGCAUACUGAAGGAGGGGAUUGCGUCUGGUUAGCUAGUUGGAGGGGUAACGGCCCACCAAGGCGAUGAUCAGUAGCCGGUGUGAGAGGAUGAACGGCCACAUUGGGACGGAGACACGGCCCAGAAUCCUACGGGAGGCAGCAGUGGGGAAUCUUCCGCAAUGGAGGAAAGUCUGACGGAGCAACGCCGCGUGAGUGAUGAAGGCCUUCGGGUUGUAAAGCUCUGUUAAUCGGGACGCGGUACCGGAAUAGAAAGCCACGGCUAACUACGUGCCAGCAGCCGCGGUAAUUC